rnacentral:rRNA from 1 species
CGUACGGGCGGCUGCAGUGGGGAAUAUUGGACAAUGGGGGCAACCCUGAUCCAGCCAUGCCGCGUGUGUGAAGAAGGCCCUCGGGUUGUAAAGCACUUUCAGUGAGGAAGAACGCCUGGUGGUUAAUACCCAUCAGGAAAGACAUCACUCACAGAAGAAGCACCGGCUAACUCCGUGCCAGCAGCCGCGGUAAUACGGAGGGUGCGAGCGUUAAUCGGAAUUACUGGGCGUAAAGCGCGCGUAGGUGGCUUGAUAAGCCGGUUGUGAAAGCCCCGGGCUCAACCUGGGAACGGCAUCCGGAACUGUCAAGCUAGAGUGCAGGAGAGGAAGGUAGAAUUCCCGGUGUAGCGGUGAAAUGCGUAGAGAUCGGGAGGAAUACCAGUGGCGAAGGCGGCCUUCUGGACUGACACUGACACUGAGGUGCGAAAGCGUGGGUAGCAAACAGGAUUAGAUACCCCUGUAGUC